AGUGAACGCUGGCGGUAGUCCUAACACUUGCAAGUCGAACGGCAGCACAGUAAGAGCUUGCUCUUACUGGUGGCGGGUGGCGGACGGGUGAGGAAUACAUCGGCAUCUACUUUUUCGUGGGGUAUAACUUAGGGAAACUUACGCUAAUACCGCAUACGACCUACGGGUGAAAGCAGGGGAUCUUCGCACCUUGCGCGCUUCAAUGAGCCGAUGUCGGAUUGGCUAGUUGGCGGGGUAAAGGCCCACCAAUGCGACGAUCCGUAGCUGGUCUGAGAGGAUGAUAAACAGAACGGGAAGAGAGAAAAGGUCAAGAAAAAUGAGGGAGGCAGCAGUGGGGAAUAUUGGACAAGGGGCGCAAGCCAAAUCCAGCCAUACCGAGUGGGUGAAAAAGGUCUUCAGGUUGUAAAGCACUUUUGUUGGGAAAGAAAAGCAACAGGUUAAUACACCGCUGUUCUGACGGUACAGAAAGAAUAAGAAACGGCUAACUUAGUG
rnacentral:rRNA from 1 species